AGCCCUAAUAGGAACCUAUAAUCUAUUUUUUGUUCUUUAUUCUUCAUCAUAUUUAGUAGGAUAUGAGACUAUUGUCAUGUAUAUAUAUUUUCAAAUAAGAUAUUAAGUAAUUAUAAAGUAUGCACAGGAGUACACAAGAGUGCAGUUAGCACAUUAUAUAUAAAUUGUUCUAUCACAGUAUUAAAUAGUUUCUAUUUCUUUACUUGAAAAUCUAUAACUUAGUAUUCUAACUAUUGAUGUACCUAAAAUUUACUAAAUUUAUUUUAUCAUUUUAUAUAUGAGAGUGUUGAACUGCAUUGUGCACUGUAAGUGUGCAUUCCCCAUCAAUAUCAUAAGAUAUCUCUCAGAAUUUAAGGUACAGGUGAUUAUGUGCAAACAUUUGGGUGUCAGGCCUCAAAUGAAUUUGCUCUGACUGAUGAACUUAAUUCAUAUUAUUUUUUAGUAUUCAGGAAAAUUUAAUACUAUCUACCUAGCAAUCAAAUAUGUAGGUAUAACGGUAGAAAAUAGUCCAAAGCAGAUGCUGAUGCAUGAGGUUAAGUGUUUUAACAAAUACAGAGUCAUGAUCAUGACAUUCUAUUUCAGGUAAGAAAAGAUAUUUGUGUAGAACUAACAAUGUGUUGAAAUUAGAACCAAGGCAUUAUAAUAUAUUUCUGGAAAUAAGAACAUGAUUUUGAUCUUAUAAUAAUCUGAGGAAAGUUGGAGUUGAGAGUGACUUCAUCUAAAAUGCAUUAAAUUUGAGUUUUCACAUCUUGAUAUUUUAAUCUUUCUUUAUAUUAAAAGAGUUAAGGGCCAACACGAUAAAAAAUACCUUGUAUAAUGAAACCUAUGUUGGCUAAAAGUAAAACAUGAAGAAAUGUGAAUAUGAGUAAAGGCAAGUCUGACAAAAGCAGUGUUUUUAACUUCACUGUGAAGAAUGUGCUUAUUCUUGAAAAUCAUCCCAAUGACUCGAACCUAGCAUUGCAUCAAUGAGGUCACUUGUGUGGCUUCAGUGAGUUGGAAAUUGCCUUCUUUAAAGGUCUGAGUCCCAUUCCCAUGCACAAGUCUUGGGGUACACAGGAAUCCAUUCCCUACUGGAAUCCUAGACUGAAAAGUUGAUUAAUGAAGAUACUAACAAACCAAAAAUAGCAUCAUAGAAAACAGAAGCCAUGAUUGUGUCUAGAUUUAAUCAAGAUGUGAAUUCUUUGGGUACAAAUAUUGUGUAAUAAGUUUUGUUUAGGAAAAAUGGGAAGUGUGAACAACACACAGUUUGGGCUGAUAAAUUUUGGAGGAAGUAUUGUCCACUUAGUAAUGAGUAUCACUGGUUCAGGAUUGAUUGGCUGCAUUAUUUACAUGUUCUGUAAGGAAUGUGAUCUUUUUCAAGAGUGUCUUUAGUGGAUAGAUCUUCCAUUGUGUCUCAUUUUACAGGGUAUUUUUUCCUAACCAAAUUUCCCAAAAGAAAUGGAACUGAUUCAAUCCCUGGGACGUGGAAUUUGUGUGAUGCAGUUCACCAUUUUCCAAAUAUCUACCUUUAUCCAGCAUCUGAGGGUAGAUUAUAUCGAACAACUGGAACAAAUAUCACUGAGGAGAUAUGGGAAGAACUCAAGAAGCUGACUCAGCAAUCUAAAAUCGUUACUGAAAAUAUGGAAAACGUCUAUGAAACAGGCCUCAGUCCUCCUUGACCCACGGAAUAACUAAGUACUGCUAGACAGGACAUGUGGCGCUGACAACGUGGGGCUUGAGGCACAGACCUUUGCCCAGCGGAGACUAUGGAGACUAGCUCCAAGAGAAGUUCAUUGUGACUAGAAGAAUAAGAAGCAUACGUUGUUUGAGGAAUGAAUGCUCCUACUGCUCAUAGGAGAAAGUGUCCUCGGCGUCAGUCUUCCUCGACCCAUGGAAUAGCUAGGACGUGUUGGACGAGACACAUGCCAGAAUAUGUAAUAUAUUAUAUAUAAGGGCUCAAGGAUAUAAUAUGGUCACCUCAUAAGAAAGACCUUUCAAGAGUCCUGGAGAGAUGAAUGAUAUAAAUGACCUAUCAACAUGAUGAAGGUACCUACACUUAAGUGAUUGCAAGAAUCUCAGAAGAAACAUUGAACUUUGGAUUUUAAACAUUAUUGAGACUAUUAUAGACUAUGUGGACUUUUAAAGUUGGACUAAAUGCAUUUUUCCUUUUGUUAUGGCUACUAAACUAUGGUGGCCAGUGUGUGUUGUUUGAAUAGCUUUGCCCCUCAUAGCCUCAUGUGAUGAAAUUUUUGAGCCAUAGAGAGUGGCAUUAUUUGGAGGUGUAGCCUUGUUGCUUUCUUGCAUGAUGAAAUGUGGUAGUGUGAAGAUGAAUGUUGAAGUCCCAAAUAUAAACUCAAGUUAUACUCAGUACAAAAUGUAUUGUCCUUUUGUCUGUCUUAUGAUCAAAAUGUAAAACUCUUGGUUUUUUUCCAGUGCCAUGUCUGUCUCCAAGUUGCCACUCUUCUGGUUACGAAGAUAAUGAGUUAAAUCUCUAAAAUUAUAAUCCAGCCACAGUUAAAUAUUAGUCUUUAUAAAAUUUGCUCUGGUCAUGGUUUAUCUUCACAGCAAUGGACACACUAAGACAACAGCUUUCAUCCAAACAUUCCAGAGACAGUGCUAUGCAGAUCUCUGAAUUUAAGGUCAAUCUAUAGAGCAAGGUCUAGGACAGUCAAGGUUAGGAAGUAAAAGCGCUAGAAAACAGGAAGCUGGUGAUAAUAUAAUACAAUAAGUGUGGCCAUGUUCCAGUCCCAGUACAGCAAACAGUAGAACAUGGCACCAGGAAGAAAGCCUAUGAGAAGCUAUUGAUGAAGCAUAGAUAUAGCAGAAAACUUUACCCAUUUGUGCUAACACUGUAUUUGUAGCUCAUAAGAGAUACAGAUUGAAAAUAUCAUAAGGAAAAUGACAGUUUCUUCCUGAAAUAUAGAUAUAGCCAUAUUUUAAGACUUUAAAUGGACUUAAUCUGUGUAGGAAAACAAUAUCAUGAUUUCACAGAAUGAGUGAACAAAUUUAAAGUGGAGUGACCGAAGAGAACACUUUGCCCACAGAUGACUAGUUCCUCCCAUAGCAAUACAUUCUGAAAAAGUAAACCAAUCCAUACAACCAUUCACCAAUACUCAUCAAGAAAAUUCUGGGUUGUGUAAAAUUGAGAGUUGCAUUGUCUCUCUGUUAGCUAUAUCUAUAUGCCAGCUAUCAUCCUUCUAUCAUUUAUCAGUAAAUCAUAUGCUGAACAUUGACUUCUUUCUAUCUAAAUAUCAAUCUAUGUAUCUAUGUGUUUAUGUAUCUAUGUAUCUAUAUAUCUAUGUAUCUAUAAUAUAAGCAUCUAGCAGACUUACCCACUGAUCUUCUAAAUCUAUCUAUCAUCUAUGAUUUGUAUUUUAUUCAUAUACACACAGACACAUGAUUAAAUGUAUAAAUACAAUAUGGUAAAUUCAUUUAGUAUUCUGCAUACAUCUGUUUUUAAGGCUAACACCAUUAUAUUGGACAAACAGGGGUUUAUUUCUGAGGACAAGUAAUUCUCCCCAUCUCCCCCUCUUCCCUCUCAUGAAUAAAUAAUUGGUUGUCACUCCUCAUUUAAGGUGG